rnacentral:rRNA from 1 species
UACGUAGGGGGCUAGCGUUGUCCGGAAUCAUUGGGCGUAAAGCGCGCGUAGGCGGCCCGAUAAGUCCGCUGUGAAAGUCGGGGGCUCAACCCUCGAAUGCCGGUGGAUACUGUCGGGCUAGAGUGCGGAAGAGGCGAGUGGAAUUCCUGGUGUAGCGGUGAAAUGCGCAGAUAUCAGGAGGAACACCUAUUGCGAAGGCAGCUCGCUGGGACGUAACUGACGCUGAGACGCGAAAGCGUGGGGAGCAAACAGG